UACUCGAGUGGCGAACGGGUGAGUAACACGUGGGUGAUCUGCCCUGCACUUCGGGAUAAGCCUGGGAAACUGGGUCUAAUACCGGAUAGGACCACAUUUUGGAUGGUGUGGUGGAAAGUUUUUCGGUGUGGGAUGAGCUCGCGGCCUAUCAGCUUGUUGGUGGGGUAAUGGCCUACCAAGGCGUCGACGGGUAGCCGGCCUGAGAGUGUGUACGGCCACAUUGGGACUGAGAUACGGCCCAG
rnacentral:rRNA from 1 species